rnacentral:rRNA from 1 species
UACGUAGGGUGCAAGCGUUGUCCGGAAUUAUUGGGCGUAAAGAGCGUGUAGGCGGCCCGAUUAGUCCGCUGUGAAAGUCCAGGGCUCAACCCUGGAAUGCCGGUGGAUACUGUCGGGCUAGAGUCCGGAAGGGGCGAGUGGAAUUCCUGGUGUAGCGGUGAAAUGCGCGGAUAUCAGGAGGAACACCAAUGGCGAAGGCAGCUCGCUGGGACGUGACUGACGCUGAGACGCGAAAGCGUGGGGAGCAAACAGG